rnacentral:tRNA from 1 species
AGUUCUGUAGUGUAGUGGUUAUCAUGUCUGCUUUACAUGCAUGAAGGUCUUGGGUUCAAGGCCCAGUGCAACUA